rnacentral:lncRNA from 1 species
GUAAAUUUCCAAAUGGUUAAAGAUGAGACUUCACCUUUCUUUUCUCACAUACUGUCUCGGUAUAAGAUCUUUUCAAAGAACAGUCUUGAAAUGAAAGCCUUCUGAUAAGAAAUCUGCAUUGAUAAGAGUUAUUGAAGCAUAACAAUUAUUAUUUAAACUGAAUUCAAAAAUGUUUAGAAUCCCUGAAAACAAAUGUACAGGCAGAUACAAAGGACAAUAUUUUCAAUUUGAAUAGUGUCUCUUCCUGCUGUGCUUGAUUUUUUACUGGAGGGCUGAACUGCCAUUCCUUCAAUUAUCAGCCUCAUAAAUUACCGCACAGGAAAAUGAGAGAUCUAUUGUUUUCUUCCUCUAGGUGCAAGAAUGGAUAUAAGGAGCUGAUAAGCAGGUACAAUUUUAGCUCCCCCCACUCCCACUGUGUCAGCCAGUGGAGCUAACUAAGGAGAAAACAGAUUUCUGCCUCUGAGGAGUCACAUCCCAGUUGUAUCACUGGUGUUCAUUGCUGUAUACCAAGAGCUGGGGCAUUUGAGCCGAGAGCAUCUGUUAUUCAGAAGAAACAGCUCCCUCUGAAUGGUAUGCUAUUGUUUUCACUGGCAAUGCAUGGGACACAGAAAUGCUUGGGUGAAUCUAUGAAACUGGUGACCUCAAGGCUGACUAGGGAAUGUAAAUGUCCACCGUAUGACUGCUGAAGGACAGGAAGUGUAACUCGAGGAUUGAGAAAUAAUGGAAACAUAAAUAUAAUUCAUGUUCAUUUAAAAAUAGUUACUUCCUCACCUGAGAAGAGCUGAC